GCCUACGGGGGGCAGCAGUCGGGAAUAUUGCGCAAUGGAGGCAACUCUGACGCAGUGACGCCGCGUAUAGGAAGAAGGUUUUCGGAUUGUAAACUAUUGUCCUCAGGGAAGAAAAAAGACUGUACCUGAGAAGAAAGCCCCGGCUAACUACGUGCCAGCAGCCGCGGUAAUACGUAGGGGGCAAGCGUUAUCCGGAUUUACUGGGUGUAAAGGGAGCGUAGACGGCAGCGCAAGUCUGGAGUGAAAUGCCGGGGCCCAACCCCGGAACUGCUCUGGAAACUGUGAAGCUGGAGUGCAGGAGAGGU
rnacentral:rRNA from 1 species